rnacentral:rRNA from 1 species
GAUCCCUGGCUCAGGAUGAACGCUAGCGGCAGGCUUAACACAUGCAAGUCGAGGGGCAGCGCGGGGCGGCAACGUCCUGGCGGCGACCGGCGGAAGGGUGCGUAACGCGUGAGCGACAUGCCCGUUGCCCGGGGACAACCGGUGGAAACGCCGACUAAUCCCCGAUGGGACGGAGGCCCUCAUGGGUCUCUGUUGAAAGUUACGGCGGCGACGGAUUGGCUCGCGUCCGAUUAGCUAGUUGGCGGGGUAACGGCCCACCAAGG